GCAGGAAGAGUAACUUCCUCAUUGAGGUCAGGAUUGAAAAUGAAUUUCCCCAUUGGGCAGAAAGAAGGAGGCCCACACUUCCUGUGUAGUGUUAUUAAUUGGCUGCCCCUCCCCUGCCUGUGGCUGUUCUGGAUCAGGACUGUGGUGCUUAACCAUUUCCUGCCCCAAACUGGGGAGGCUACGGAGGCACUGUGUGAGCGAUAAAGUACUUUCUAGUUAAUUAUUAGAUUUUGUGGACCAUCACUCAUUGGGUAUUGAGCUACCUCAGCUGGCCCUGCCUCUGCCACGGGGGAGACCUCAGGGUCCAAGAAUCGUCCCCUGGGAGCAGUAAAGCCAAGUCCAGAAGGAGAGGGACAGGGGCGGUGGAAGAUAUGACAGCAGUGUCCUUGCCUGAGGAGCAUACUUAGUGCAUCUUUCUCACUCCCAUCCCCACAGACAGAAUUACAGUAUCUCAUCUCAGAUGGGCCUCGAAAGACAUUCUUUACAGAUGCUGGCCUCACUGUCGGGGCGGGGCUUCAGGUCUCUAACCACCCCAGCCCCAGGACAGCAGUGGAAAGUCACACGCAGCUCGGGAUGCCCGCAGAGCCCCUCCUGACCUCAGUCACCUGGUGAACCCAUCUCUCCAGAUCACUCUGGCGUCCCUUUCUCCGUGGAGCCUUCAGGGAUGAUGUCCCCAGGCAGUUUCCCACUCUCUCCUCCUUUCUGCCACAGCAUUUGUUGUCACUCACUAUGUCUUUUUGUUCACUUGUCCUUGUUCCCAAAAAGACCGUGGGCUCUUUGAGCGUCUUCUCUGGUCCGUGCGGAGUGCACAAUGGUAUCUCGAUAGAUCUUAGACGCUAGAUCACCUUGUUCAGUCAUUCUCAAACAUCUAUGCAUGAGAAUGACCCGAAGAAGGGGUUCAAAUGCAGAUUCUCAGACCCCAGCUGAGCCAUUGUGAAACCUGGGUCUUUAAUUAAAGAUCAGGCAAUUGUGACGCACAUAUGUUCACAACCCACCCUUUAAGAAAUACAGAUUUGUUCAAACUUCCCAUUUUGCAGGUGGAGAAACAGAGGGCUGGGGAUGCAGUCCUGAUUCAAGACCCUUAGCUACUUAGCGCAGUGGGACAGCAUGGUACUUUGAACUAGAACUAUCUUAAAUUCUCAUGAAGUGAAGUAAGCGAACGUUAAAAAUACCGCGAGCUAAAAUAAUUGCGUACCACACCUUAAAACAGUGACAAGACUCUCCAUGGCCAGAUGCCUCUGCCGCGGUCCACGAUGAGAUGAUGGUACCUUUCUUCCUGUUACUGGCAGGGUCUCCUUAGAAUUUGAAGUGUUUUCUUGCUGACGCCAGAACAAUGACUUCUGCCUCUAAAGUGUCAUUUGCCUCAAUGGCUGCCCAAAGAGGCCAUCUGGCACCAAGCUCUAGUGCCCGCGGGUGCGCCCUGCCCACCUUCGGAGGCUGUCAGUUUGCCGCUGCAGGCACAGGGCCCCGAAGAAGAGCCGGUGGUCAGAUGUCUGGCUCACGCCUAUUUUUAUGGGCGAACCCUUAUUUCAUCUGCCCGUUGUUUGGUGAGUGCCAUGCGUGCUGGUUACCACCUUGGACAGCAGGUGCCACCUAGAGGGCCCUGUGACUGCUUCCGUGGUUUCACAGUGGCAAGCUGGGUGGCCUCGGGGCCCCAGGGAAGCUCUGCAGCCACCCGCUAAGGGUUACACCAGCCCCCACGCGGGCCUGGCACUUCGGCUUUAGAGGAGACAGUCGCCAGGGGAGCCCAGGAAGGAUAGAAGAAGGCUAUCUGGCUGGUUCCUAGCUUCCAGCUUCCUCGCUUGGUGGGACUCCGAGAGGAAAUGAGCAGGAACUCUGUUCCUCGGCCACAAGGUGUCAGCAGUGGGCUGGCCAGGUGCGAGCUCUGCGCGCAGCCCCAGGAGGAAAGCGCCGGCACGCACACAAGGUGCUGCCGGUCGCCUUUGAAACUCCUUAUUUGGAGGAAGCGCCUUUCUCAGGAACAGCACAUUAAGGUACCAAAAGACCCGCCUUUCGGUCUUGCCCGUGGACUAACCACAUGCCUCCAUCUGCCCUCAGAAGAGCGAAGCCGCCGCUGCAGGGCCUUGACUGGAAGAGGUCCCACAGGUGGGGGUUGGGGGUAACGCCGCAGGAAGCGGUGACGUGCAGAACAGAAUGGGGGCACAAAAGAGAGUAGGACAUGGACAUGAGUUCUGGCUUGUUUACUUGCUCGCUGUGAAUUUGGAGUCUGGGUUUGCUUCCCCAUUUCUAAAAUGCCAUAUUCCCCUUUUUCAAAUGGCAACAGUCACAGGAUCGUUGUGCGGAUCAAGUGAGAUGAAAUGAUUUGCAAACCAUGAGGUUCCACAUAAGCACGGGUGCCGUGGUUGGGGUUCAUCUUUCCACCCGAGUUGUGUCACAGGGCUUCCUCCAGACUGGAGGAACAGAGCCCAAAGCAGGGGAAGGGGCCAGCUCUUCUCCAUGUGGGUCACUGGAGUCCCCUGCGUGAGCCCCGGCCAUAAACUCCUGAUCUGGCCUGAUAGAGUCAUCUUCCAGCAAGAUUCUUCCUGGAUGCCUUUCCAUGGCUUGUUUCCAAGCAGAAAGCUGGCAACGGCUGCUCACUCUUCCUUCUUCACUGAGCCUUCUUUUCCAUAUUGGAAGAAGAUGAAAUGCACAUUUCAGAAUAGUUUCUUGAAGGAAGAAUGAGAUCAACAUAAAGACAGAAGCCGAGAUGGAAAACUGAGAAACGUCCCUGCUGAUGGACUCUGAGUCCCUGGUUCCACCCCUGUGUCCUCCAGUUAAAUAAGCUGAAUGUGAUCCCCCCUUUUGGCUUAAGCUAGCUUUGAGUUGCACCCCCGGACUCACUCGUGGUGAAAUCUGCUGAAUGAGCUCAGGGGCGGGGAUAGUGAGCUGCCUCUGUGCUCUCCGUACAAAUCCCUCUUGGCAAUCAUGCAACUUGUGACAUUUGCUAGUGAUGAUUCAAACAAGCUGCCAUCAUUUACUGGUGGGUAGGAGGGGGAUGGAGCCCCCUGAUAGAGACACUAGAGUGGUUGCUCCAAAGAAUCCCCAGGGUCCUGUGCCACGACAGUGGUGAACACAUCAGCACACGUGCCCAGUGCUAUGUACACUCAGGUAUCCUUUUGGUCAUUGCUUGUGUUUAGAAAUAGGUGAUACCUUGAAGGGGGCCCUCCCUUCAGGUAGGCCAUUUUUGCCAAGAAUUAUUUUUUUAAAUUUUUUAAACAUUUAUUUAUUUUUGAGAGAGAGAGAGAGACAGAGAAUGAGCAGGGGAGGGGCAG